UACGUAGGGGGCAAGCGUUGUCCGGAAUCAUUGGGCGUAAAGAGCGUGUAGGCGGCCAGAUAGGUCCGUUGUGAAAACUCGAGGCUCAACCUCGAGACGCCGAUGGAAACCAUUUGGCUAGAGUCCGGAAGAGGAGAGUGGAAUUCCUGGUGUAGCGGUGAAAUGCGCAGAUAUCAGGAAGAACACCCGUGGCUAAGGCGGCUCUCUAGUACGGUACUGACGCUGAGACGCGAAAGCGUGGGGAGCGAACAGG
rnacentral:rRNA from 1 species